rnacentral:lncRNA from 1 species
GGCCGCCACGCUACGUUUGGUUUUUCAUCUCCACCUGUUACAUACAUACAUACAUACAUACAUACAUACAUACAUACAUACAUACUUAGAAAGAAAGAAAGAAAGAAAGAAAGAAGGAAGGAAGGAAGGAAGGAAGGAAGGAAGGAAGGAAGGAAACAAGACAAAGGAGUUCAUGACUUCAAUUCCCUAGGAUCUGAUGCCCUCUUCUGGUAUAAAGGUGUACAUGCACGUUGGUACCCAAAAUGAAUGAAUAAACGAAUAAGA